CAGUCUGUCUCAGGAGCUCAGCAGUCCGGAUCAGAGCGCCGAGCUGAAGCUGCAGAGUCGAGCCGUCCUCUGGACGGUCCCUCGAAUCACUGGAGGAACUCAGCUGUCCGCUCUCUUUAAGGUGGAGGUGUCAGGGCUCAGCGCCUCCUCCCUGCUGGAGGUCGGUCCGGUCGCUCUGAGUUUCGAGCUUCCCAAACUGACGGUGACGGGGCUGCAGAUCCGUUUCCUGCGUCUGUCUCCGGUGCAGCCCGGUCCAUCGCAGCGCUGGGUCCGAUACGUCACGCACUCGGACUCCUACAUCAUCCGCAUCUGACCCGGACUGACAACGGAGCGUCGACCACUCCGAUCAGAGCUCCGCCGCAGGAAACUGACGGAGCCACAGACACUGUCUUUCAAAAUAAGAGUCUGAAGAGGAUAUCAGCUGUUUUCAGUUUCAGUUUGAGUUUUUAUAUUUUCUGUCUGAAAACCUGGAGCUGAAUUUGACUCCAGAGAGAAUAAAGAAAACUUCAUCCUGACACUUUA